AUGCUCUUAGCACGGGCCUUACAGAGCGCCCUCACGGUUUCCCCUAUGACCAUGCUCUGCGCUCUGCGUCACCUCCGUGCCACAGCCAGAACUACUGCAGGCGGAAGCAGUGGGAGAUUGACACCGCCCCCACCCCCUCCCUUCCAGUCAGCAACGCGGUGGCUACGUGACGCACAGAAUCACUCAGCACGGAAGGCAGACGUGGGAGCUGGAGAAUGGCCGCAAACCAAUCCCCGCCGCUUUAAGCUCUCUGGUCCCUCCACAUCCGGGAGGGGGCAGAGUCACAUCGGACAAGGACCGGAAGAACCUCCCCCGGAGCCGAUCCCUGCCUUCCACCCUACAACGUGGGCCUGCUCUUGGCGCCAGCCUUGUGGAGCGCCCUCAAAGCCUCCACUGUGGCCAUGCUCUGCGUCACUUACACACUGCAGCCACAGCUACUGCGGGCAGAAGCAGGAGGAGAUUGACACCGCCCCCACCCCCUCCAUUCCAGUCAGCAACGCGGUGACAACGUCAUGCACGGAAGGACUCAGCACAGAAGGCGGAUGUGGGAGCUGGAAAAUGGCCGCCUGGCCUGGGUGCUCAGCUGCCCCAGGGAGACACCAAUGGAGCAAAGGCCAAGCCCCACUAUAGCAGCAGUGAUUUCAACCAGCCCCCACAUGGAUGAGACCCUGCAGAGCUCAGUCCCUCCUUGCAGAAGACAUUGUCAUAGGGGACCUAAUGAUCUUGAACAGGUAAUGUUCAUCAUACAUCAGCCAUUCCCAUCAAUCCAAAGUUAGUCAACUGGCACCAGGUUUUAACAGCUGAUCUGUGUGUUGGUCCCCUUAUCCUCCAUCCCUGUCAUAAGGCACUGGGGAGGUUCUAAGCAAUGCUGCACAUGAGGAUAUGAGAGAGACCAGCAGCCAUGCAGCACAUGAGCUUCUGAAUCAAAGCCAUGAUCAUGCAUAUGGUAACAAAAAAAAUUAGAACUUUGAGGAGAUAUGUUCAGAAAAUGAGUUUCAGGGCUUCAGGCCUGCAUUAGUAACUAAGUUUGUUUCUAUUGUUACAUAGACACAAGUCCAAAGUAAUUCUGUACCAGAAGUUAAUCAAAUGAGGGUCUGCAGAGCCUACCAGGCAUGAGCUAUACCAUGAACCAAAAAAUCUGCAAUCCCCUCAUUGUAGAGGUGGUUGAAGAGCUGACCAAACUCUCCAGGUCCUCAGCAACACUGCAGGGUGCAGGUUUGUGGCAACACAGCUUCUCACUGGGCUCUGCACUGUGGACUGCUACACCAGGCAAGACGCAAAUCAGCUUCCAGUAUCAGCAUUUAAGCCUAGAGCACAUCUACAGCUAAGUUAGAUAUGUAGUGUAUUGCUGGUGCUCUUCUAAGUGAGCUCCCUGAAAGACAUAGCCAAAAUUAAACCUAAUUUAUAACCUUAGUCACCAUUAAUGGAUGACUUUAGGAACAGGGAAAAGCUUAAUCUGAGAUCUGAGUGGUAUAAUUCUGCCCUAAACAUAAGCCAGUUUCCCAAAGCGUUGUACAGCACUCCCCUAUGUAUGACUUCUUGGUUAUCUCCAGCAUCUUUCAGAUGGCUGCACUUUGGAAGAACUUCAAAUCAGUAUCUUCUUCUGACACAGAUGGCCCCUGCGUCUGGGUCCAUCGCUUAGAUUCGUUUUCUUUCCCUGAGUGUGAAGAUGGGGUAUCUGUCCAAGCGGUUUGCAGAUCAAAGGCACAGAUUUGUAAUAGGCACUUUCUGAGUGUACAAAUAAUUAUCUGAAUCCUCAAAUACUUUGCUGAAAUGGAGAAGCACUUCAGCUUGAGAAAGGGGUCUCUAAGUAAAAACUUAUGCUCUGGCUAGACACAAGAGUGAAGCAGCUCUUUAUGAAUGUUUUUCAUAAAAAAGGCUGUCCUCGCAAGUAGGCACUAUCAGUAUAAGCAGAACAAUGAUUUAUAUUUCCUAUCUCUCCACUGCUUCCCUCCCUUGUUUCCUCAUUGGUUGGGUACUCCAAGGUUUACAGCCUAUUCAGUACUUACAAUCUACAUGCUAACUGUCCCACCUCUGUUUACACCUCCACUUACUCAACAUUGUGUGCCCCUUCCUCUUAUUUAUUAACUGCAUCAUUAGUAACCACAUAAUCCUUUUCUGGUUCGAUUUCAUAACUCUUUGACAGACACGUGGUACCCCAACUUACUGUUUAACCAGCCUGCACAGGCUUAGUUUGUAUAUAAAGGGUUAUUCUUUUUAACCACAGAGUGAAUCUUUAAUCUAGAGGUGACACUGGCUUUAACCAGAGUGUGUAUUUUGGAGUUACUAGAUCUCAAACCCUUUGUUUCAUUCUCUUAGUAACUUAGCCCCAGGCUCAGUAUUGAAAACUCUAAAUACUGCAAAGCCUUAAUAUUUAUCUAAAGCUCUAAUAGUGAAAAGCCUUAAUAUUGCAAAGCCCCAUUCCCAGUUAUGUGAAAACAACACUGUUUCUCUCACAAUUCCCCCUUUCUCUUAUUUAUACUGGUUUUGGUUGUCGCACUUUCUGUAAACAAUUACCCCACAUGUUGCUUCCAGUGUGGAUAACAUAAUUUCACAUUUUUGGUUUAAAGAUAAAUCAUCCAAAUCAUCUUCCCUUUUUUUUUCCUUUCUUUGUUUCUAAUAUAAAGCACUUUAGCAGAAUAGGGUUGUGGUCCCAUGAGCAUUUGUUUUGACAAUUUUAUUUCAAGAAGAAGUUGUACAAGUCUUCCUAUAUAUGGAAAUUUGUAGCACCUUAUAGCUAUUAAUACACCUGCUACUAUAAUUACAGAAGUAAAAACUGAUAACACCAUUCCUCUCUAUUUUCCAAGCCAGGAUUCUAACCAUCCUGUUACUAAAAUAUCUGUUCUCGUAUUUUCAGCCUAUUCUUCUGCCAAGGUAAUGAGGCCUUGUAAGGCUCUCGUUAUGGCUCCAGCUGUUGUUGUAUUAUUUGGAGUACAUGUGCAACACAUAUUCCCUAGCAUUAUGCAUACUCCUCCUUUUUCAGUUAAUAUAUCUAAAACUAUAAUUUUUUCACUGUAUAUUUCACCCAUUCUACCCAGGCUUUUACAUUACUACAUCCUGUUUUUAUUUGAAACAUCUACUUCAAAUCUUUAACUGCUAUUAUAUUAAUUAUUUUAAGAUUCUUUGGUGGAGUCCAUGCCCCCACCGAUGGAGGAAUGGUAGUGUCCACAGGCUGGCCACAUUCAUUCCUCUUUGGCUCCCAAGCCACUAUCCUAAAUCUAGCAAUUGAAUCCCUUCCUGUCACAUCUGCCCCCAGGCCAUGAACUUGGCUUACUUCCUUUCCAGCACUUGCAAUCACAAGUGCUACGGGACCUCAGUCUAAACCCUCACAGUCAGAUUUUAUGUGACCUUUAAACAUCAUAAUUUUACUUUUUAGUGAUUUUCCCUAAUCGCUGGGUGAGAUCCACCCAUUAAAGGCAGUUUUAAACCAAACACAACUCCACCCAGGACAAGGUGAUUCCCUGUAUGGCUGGAGAUAAUACUCUGGGUAUAAAUAUUUACCUCAUCUUACUGUUUCGUCAGCAUGUACGGAUUUCUUUUCAGAGGUUCUAUAUAGAUGGUAUUCUUUUUAACCACCGAGUGUGUCUUUCAUCUAGAGAUGACACUGUCUUUAACCACAGACCAUGUCUAUUUGAAUAACUAUAUCUCAGACCCUUUCUUUCCUUGCCUUACGAACUUAUUCCCACACCUACUAUUGAAAAAUCUUAUUGAUCUUAAACCUCUAAGAUUGGAAAGUCUUAAUACUGUUAAGCCCCAUCCCCAAUUAUGCAAAAACAACACUGUUUCUCUCACAGCUGGGAGUAAUUGGAAACACCACCACACUGGCCAGACCAACAGCGUCUUCUGCCUGGAGAACCUACAAACAGGAUCAACAGCACCUAAUGAUGUAACCGUCAACUGUGGCAUGAUCAGGCUCACAUGAAACAGCACAAAAAUAUUAGGUCUGCUUAUGAGAAGUGCUCAUUACAAGAUUCUACACAGGAUGGAAACACUGGCCACCUGUGUUAAAGGGAUGGAAGGCAAUGGUGGAUGAGGCUGAAAGAGAUGUCUUGAUUCUAUGAUUCUAUGAUUUGCAGAAUACCAAGGCCUUUUACCAAGUUCCAUCACUAAAGUGUCACUGCAAAUUAUAUAGCUCAUGCUGUUGAAUUAGGGAAAGGCCCAAACUGCAGACACAUGUGGGAUCCCAAGCUUGCACAUCCUUAAGCUUCACAAAUGCCUACAUACAGGGCUUUGAUCAGAACUUCUCCUUAGUGAAACCUUGUCUCCAGAGUCAACAGUCUAGCUUCCCAGGAUCUUUCAGGGGCACCAGAGUUCACCUAAACCAGUCCCUUUAGAGAGCUAAAGCUCAGGAUCUGAUGGGGAAGGGCAAAAGCAGAGUUUUUCUGUGGAGCCAGAUACAACAUAAAGCAAGGAAUUCUGGCGCACUGGUUGGGGUGGGUAGAGGUUUCCUACUGCACAGUAGAAAAGGCAGAGCUGAGGAUCUGCGUGGCUCUGGGACUCCCAAUAUCCUGGCUCUGUGCUCCACAAAUGCCCUGCCAGAGCUGGUGGGAAGGCCAGAGGUUAGGCCAGCCUGGGAUUUCGAGAGACCUGAUACCAAGGCACAUCAUGGUCAGGUGAUAUGAAGCCAGAGGGCACUGUGGAAAUAGUUGAUCCAUUUGCACUCCUGGGUCUCAAAGAACUGAAACAACACAGACAAAACAGCCUAAGAUCUGUGAGAAGAGAGCAAAUCUCCUCUAUUCUGAUCUCUUCUCAUCCCACUACAAAGAUCUCUGUCCACAGCAAGGAGCAGGUGAUGUUGGUCUUCUGCAGGAAACACCGUAACCAUGAGUCAUAGAAUCAUAGAACCAACUAGGUUGCAAAACACCUCAUCCAGAGAAGAAGUCAUCCCUUUGCACACCCACAUACUUCAAAGAUGAGCAUUAAGUUCUGGAAGGUCUGCAGGGCCAAUGUGGAAGGGGUCACACAGCACACCACUACCUCUGGGGAGAUGAAGCCAGCUUCCUAAGGGUACUGCAUGUUCCUUGGUACCCCACCCAUGGUCCUGCAGUCCCAGCUGACUUCUCUCCCUCAACUAUCAUGCAAUAAAAAAGCAUUGGGGAUCUAUGAAAUCUAAGUG
rnacentral:lncRNA from 14 species